rnacentral:rRNA from 1 species
GCGGGGAAAAGGGGUAGAUAAACCGCGGGGUUUUCUCCCCCCCCCUUCGGGAAAAAACCCGGAAAAACGGUUUCAAUACCCGAAAAUGACCCCUUCUCCCAUGGGGGGGGUGGGAAAAAUUUUUUUGGGGGCAAGAGGGGCCCCCGGCCUAUCACACUUGUUUGUGGGGAAAGGCCCUCCCAAGGCGGCGACGGGGUAGCCGACCUGAAGGGUGCCCCGCCCACCUGGGACUGAGACACCGCCCAGACUCCUACGGGAGGCAGCAGUGGGGAAUAUUGCACAAUGGGCGAAAGCCUGAUGCAGCGACGCCGCCUAAGGAUGAAGGCUUCGGGUUGUAAACCUCUUUCAGCAGGGACGAAGCGCAAGUGACGGUACCUGCAGAAGAAGCACCGGCUAACUACGUGCCAGCAGCCGCGGUAAUACGUAGGGUGCGAGCGUUGUCCGGAAUUACUGGGCGUAAAGAGUUCGUAGGCGGUUUGUCGCGUCGUUUGUGAAAACCCGGGGCUCAACUUCGGGCUUGCAGGCGAUACGGGCAGACUUGAGUGUUUCAGGGGAGACUGGAAUUCCUGGUGUAGCGGUGAAAUGCGCAGAUAUCAGGAGGAACACCGGUGGCGAAGGCGGGUCUCUGGGAAACAACUGACGCUGAGGAACGAAAGCGUGGGUAGCAAACAGGAUUAGAUACCCUGGUAGUCCACGCCGUAAACGGUGGGCGCUAGGUGUGGGUUCCUUCCACGGAAUCUGUGCCGUAGCUAACGCAUUAAGCGCCCCGCCUGGGGAGUACGGCCGCAAGGCUAAAACUCAAAGGAAUUGACGGGGGCCCGCACAAGCGGCGGAGCAUGUGGAUUAAUUCGAUGCAACGCGAAGAACCUUACCUGGGUUUGACAUACACCGGAAAGCCGUAGAGAUACGGCCCCCCUUGUGGUCGGUGUACAGGUGGUGCAUGGCUGUCGUCAGCUCGUGUCGUGAGAUGUUGGGUUAAGUCCCGCAACGAGCGCAACCCUUGUCUUAUGUUGCCAGCGCGUUAUGGCGGGGACUCGUAAGAGACUGCCGGGGUCAACUCGGAGGAAGGUGGGGACGACGUCAAGUCAUCAUGCCCCUUAUGUCCAGGGCUUCACACAUGCUACAAUGGCCAGUACAGAGGGCUGCGAGACCGUGAGGUGGAGCGAAUCCCUUAAAGCUGGUCUCAGUUCGGAUCGGGGUCUGCAACUCGACCCCGUGAAGUCGGAGUCGCUAGUAAUCGCAGAUCAGCAACGCUGCGGUGAAUACGUUCCCGGGCCUUGUACACACCGCCCGUCACGUCAUGAAAGUCGGUAACACCCGAAACCGGUGGCCUAACCAUUUAUGGGGGGAGCCGUCGAAGGUGGAUCGCAGCCCC